UACGUAGGGUGCAAGCGUUAAUCGGAAUUACUGGGCGUAAAGCGUGCGCAGGCGGUUUUGUAAGUCUGUCGUGAAAUCCCCCGGGCUCAACCUGGGAAUUGCGAUGGAGACUGCAAGGCUAGAAUCUGGCAGAGGGGGGGGUAGAAUUCCACGUGUAGCAGUGAAAUGCGUAGAGAUGUGGAGGAACACCGAUGGCGAAGGCAGCCCCCUGGGCUGAGAUUGACGCUCAGGCACGAAAGCGUAGGGAGCAAACAGG
rnacentral:rRNA from 1 species